GCCGCGGUAGCUCAGUGGUAGAGCGAAGGUCUGAAGAACCUUGCGUCGGGUGUUCGAUUCACCCCCGCGGCA
rnacentral:tRNA from 2 species